rnacentral:rRNA from 1 species
GAAUUUUGGACAAUGGGGGCAACCCUGAUCCAGCCAUCCCGCGUGUGCGAUGAAGGCCUUCGGGUUGUAAAGCACUUUUGGCAGGGAAGAAAAGGCUCUGGCUAAUACCUGGAGCUGCUGACGGUACCUGCAGACUAAGCACACGCCAACUACGUGCCAGCCGCCGCGGUAAUGCGUAGGGUGCAAGCGUUAAACGGGAUUACUGGGCGUAAAGCGGGCGCAGGCGGUUCGGCAAGAAGGAUGUGCAAUCCCAGGUCUUAACCUUGGAACUGCCUUCUUAACCGCCGGGCUAGAGUAUGUCAGAGGGGGGUAGAAUUCCGCGUGUAGCAGUGAAAUGCGUAGAGAUGCGGAGGAAUACCGAUGGCGAAGGCAGCCCCCUGGGAUAAUACUGACGCUCAUGCACGAAAGCGUGGGGAGCAAAC